rnacentral:sRNA from 1 species
UAUAUAUAUAUAUGUUUACAUUAUUUUCUUCUAUCUCACACAAAUCAUGUAUGUUUAAAUUAUUUUCUACUAGUUUUGGACAAAUAGUGAUAGCCUUGGAAGGAGACAUGUUUUUGAGAGUACAAUAUUUUGAGUAAGGUAGGAUUGUUGAAAGAAAAGAAAAAGUGAAAAAGACUACUAAGUUGUUUGUUUUAUAAGAGAAUGAUAUAUGUAUUAAGUUCAAGAGACAAUUAAUUGAAUUUUGAUAGUCAUCUCUUUAUUAGAUUGAUUUAAUGGUCAAAUAUGUUAAACUUAAAUUAACUUGCUUAAAGUGGUUUGAAGGUUAGUUAGUAAAACUAGAAAAUUAAAAAAAAUCAAAAUCAAGAUAUCAUAUAUAUAGGGCUCUUAUGGGCCACAUCUUACUAAGCUAUAAUAUUUCUUAUGUAUUUGAUUGGCUACUUCAAAAUGACAUUUUUGCGAUUAGCGUGAUCCCAUAUCUAUUCCACACAUUCACCAACUUUAUCAGACAUGUAAUCUCUAGAUACUCUCUUCCACGCCAUCUAAAUUAAUAUCCUUGUUGUUUUCAUACUAUACCAGUAAAUAAUUCAAAAGUAAAUUAGGUUUCCGAUAAGAGCUAUAAGAACGCAAUAAAAAAUAUCACUCGAUCUCUCCAUCAUAGCUUUGUUGUCACUAAAUCAACGUCGGAUGAAGCUUUUUGGAUUCACAAUCUUUAUGUUGAAUUCGUAGAAAAAGACCACUAUAUGAUGAGGUUAAUGAAUGAUAACAGUGUUUUUGUCAAGAGUGAUAAAAAGUUUUUAAGGAAUUAUAUUGUUUAUUUCAUAUGAGACAAUGCCUUUUUAUGCACAUAUGUUAUGAAGUAGUUAACACAAUACAUAAGAAACAUUACAAAUUAAUAAGAUGUGGUUCAUGAGAGCCCAAUAAUGUUGAGUCUUAAAAGUGUAUUUGAAUUUUGUUGAUUCGAUGAAAUAAAAAUAAUUUGAUGAAAAUUAAUUGAACGAGCAUUGCAUUAAUUUUCAUAAAACACUUUCAUAUGAUAGUGUCUCGCAUGUUGAUCUUAAUCUUUUUUUCAGAAUUAAAAAGUUUUGCAAAUAACUUUAUCCCCAGUGUCAAUGACGCCUAGUGAAGUAUUUGAGUUUGUUGAAAAUAUUGGUUGUUAUUCAAAUUUUCAGUUACUUUCAGUUUGUUGAAAAUAACAAUUGUAAUGGUAGUUGCAUCAUCAUUGGGUUGUUAUUCAAACUUUAUUAAAAACUAAUAAAUGUAUAUU